GACGAACGCUGGCGGCGUGCUUAACACAUGCAAGUCGAACGGAAAGGCCCUGCUUUUGUGGUGUGCUCGAGUGGCGAACGGGUGAGUAACACGUGAGUAACCUGCCCUUGACUUUGGGAUAACUUCAGGAAACUGGGGCUAAUACCGGAUAGGAGCUCCUGCUGCAUGGUGGGGGUUGGAAAGUUUCGGCGGUUGGGGAUGGACUCGCAGCUUAUCAGCUAGUUGGUGGGGUAGUGGCUUACCAAGGCUUUGACGGGUAGCCGGCCUGAGUGGGUGACCGGCCACAAUGGGACUGAGAUACGGCCCAGACUGCUACGGGAGGCAGCAGUGGGGAAGAUUACACAAAGGGCGGAAGCCUGAUGCAGCAACGCCGCGUGCGGGAUGACGGCCUUCGGGUUGUAAACCGCUUUCGCCUGUGACGAAGCGUGAGUGACGGUAAUGGGUAAAGAAGCACCGGCUAACUACGUG
rnacentral:rRNA from 1 species